rnacentral:misc_RNA from 1 species
GAAAUGCGAUAAGUAAUGUGAAUUGCAGAAUUCAGUGAAUCAUCGAAUCUUUGAACGCACAUUGCGCCCGCCAGUAUUCUGGCGGGCAUGCCUGUUCGAGCGUCAUUUCAACCAUCAAGCCCCCGGCUUGUGUUGGGGACCUGCGGCUGCCCGCAGGCCCUGAAAAACAGUGGCGGGCUCGCUGUCACACCGAGCGUAGUAGCAUACAUUCUCGCUCAGGGCGUGCUGCGGGUCCCGGCCGUUAAACGACCUUCAUAACCCAAGGUUGACCUCGGAUCAGGUAGGAAGACCCGCUGAACUUAAGC